UUAUUACUCCCUCCGUCCCAAAAUUCUUGUCUUAGAUUUGUCUAAAUACGGAUGUAUCAAGUCAUGUUUUAGUAUUAGAUACAUCCGUAUCUAGGAAAAUCUAAGACAAGAAUUUUGGGACAGAGGGAGUGUAAG
rfam:Triticum aestivum genome assembly, contig: Triticum_aestivum_CS42_TGACv1_scaffold_220870_3B